rnacentral:lncRNA from 7 species
UGUGAUUUCGGGUUAAUGGGGGUUUCUCGAAGAGAAAACGCGUGAUUUUCGGCUUAAAUGGGGGAUUCUCGAUGAGUAACCACCAGAUUUUCGCUUAAAUGAAGGAUUUGCAAAGGGGAACGUGUGAUUUUUGCUUAAAUGGGGGAUUCUCAAAAAGAAAACGUGAUUUUUGGGUUAAAUGGGGGUUCUUGAAGAGAAAACGCGUGAUUUUCGGGUUAAAUGGGGGAUUUGCGAAGAGAAAACGCAUGAUUUUCGGGGUAAAAUAAGGAUAGUUGAAGAGAAAACGCAUUGUUUUCGCUUAAAUGGGGAUUCUCAAGAGAAAACGCGUGAUUUUCGGGUUAAAUGGGAGAUUCUCGAAGAGAAAACACAUGAUUUUCGCUUAAAUGGGGGAUUCUCAAAGAGAAAACGUGUGAUUUUCGCUUAAAUGGCGGAUUUCCGAAUAGAAAACGCGUGAUUUUCGAGUUAAGUGGGGGUUCUCGAUGAGAAAACGCGUAAUUUUCGAGAUUAAAUCGGGGGAUUUGCGAAGAGAAAACGCGUGAUUUUCGUGUUAAAUCGGGGAUUCUCGAAGAGAAACCACCUGAUUUUCGCUUAAAUGAAGGAUUUGCGAAGAGGAAGCCCGGGAUUUUCGCUUAAAUGGGGGAUUCUCGAAGAGAAAACGCGUCAUUUUCGGCUUAAAUGGGGGAUUCCCGAAGGAAAACGCGUGAUUUUUGCUUAAAUGGGGGAUUUGUGAAGAGAAAACGUGUGAUUUUCGGGUUAAAAGGGGAUUUUAGAAUAGAAAACGCGUGAUUUUGUUAAAUGAAGGAUAUCCAAAGAAAAC